rnacentral:piRNA from 1 species
UUCAGACAGUAGUUCAUCUCUGUGUGAA